AUUUGAGUUCCUUGAACACCCUUUAAGGCCAAAUUAGCUUCACGUUUAUCAGCACGAAGAAACUCCCAGAAAACUUGCAUCGUCUCCUUAAUAACGUCGCCCAAUUUCAUUAUGGAAAUGACAUCCUUUUCCUCUUCUCGUCCUCCCUUCUUACCCUUAAAACGAUCAUCUGCUCUAAUGCUCGGGACUUGAAGAAAGCUACGGAGAAUGCACCUCUUCCUGACAUAAUAUUGGACUCGUGGUCCUUGAAAUGGCUCAUCCUCGACAAAUCUUUGUGAAUACUUUCAUUUGCUGU
rnacentral:misc_RNA from 1 species